rnacentral:rRNA from 1 species
GUGUCAGCAGCCGCGGUAAGACAGAGGGUGCAAACGUUGUUCGGAAUUACUGGGCAUAAAGCGCACGUAGGUGGUCUGCUAAGUCAAGUGUGAAAUCCCCCGGCUCAACCGGGGAAUUGCGCUCGAUACUGGCAGGCUAGAGGUCGGUAGGGGUGGGCGGAACUCCAGGUGGAGCGGUGAAAUGCGUAGAUAUCUGGAGGAACACCGGUGGCGAAAGCGGCUCACUGGACCGAGUCUGACACUGAGGUGCGAAAGCUAGGGUAGCAAACGGGAUUAGAAACCCCGGUAGUCC